CUCCGCUCCUCCGGCAGGGGCAGGUGGCGGUCGCCCUGGCUGCAGACCCCAGACGGGGGCUAUCCGCCAGUUCCACCCUCGCUUUCCUCCCCGACAGGCUAUUUCUCCUUUUGCUGCUUGGAGAAUUAGAGCCCGAGCGCUCCCGUGAGCAGGACGGGAGGUGCGCGGCGCGCAGAGGAGGAAAAGGGAGGCUUACAGCACUCGGUCCCGAGAAGCCCGGUGUCUGAGGAAACCGGUCCCACUGCCUCCCUGGGCCGAGCGCUGAUAAGAUGAGGGGUUUCGGACGGUCUUGCAGUUGGCCCUACACUUUCCAAGGAAUGUUCCUGAAACAAAGACCAAAUUCCUGCAUCCUGAUUCCUGCUGCUCCCAUAGCUGCGUGCCAGCGGCCAAACCACUCUCAAAUAUUCUACAUCCUUCGGUGUUGCGUGUCCCGGGCAGGCAUCCAUCCCAUCUGACUGGGAUCGCUGAUUCGGCUGCACCGAGGCUCUGGAAGCACGACUGAUGCUUCUUCCCUCUGCGCACCUGGAAGCGCUAAGGCAACUCACUAGCUGCUGCCUUUUGCUCUCCUAAAUCGCCUGUUCUUUCAGUAAUUCUUUCUUGUUUGUUUGAAGAGUGGACAAAGAGAGAGCGUGGUUAGAACCCUUCUUGUGUAAUAGUAUCAGAGUUGAGAUGCAAUACUGUGUGUGUGACUCCACACACCACGAGGUCGUUAAAAUACCUUUUUAAAGAAAACUCUUGAUUAAAGCCGUUUAACACCCA